GCGGGCGUGGCGGAACAGGUAGACGCGCCAGACUCAAAAUCUGGUUCCGGCAACGGAGUGUGAGUUCGAGUCUCACCGCCCGCACCA
rnacentral:tRNA from 3 species